rnacentral:piRNA from 1 species
UAAACAGACACGUGAGAACAA